rnacentral:lncRNA from 1 species
AUGCCCCGCGCGCACUCGCCGCUGCUGGCGAGCCCAGCUUACAGCCCGACCCCGCACACUGCGCGGCCAGCACCCCGCGCCCGCCCGCCCGCAGCGCGCCCGGGGAGCAGUCGCCGGGCCCCCGGCCGGCGGUGGGCGGAGCGCUUACCGUGUUCCUGCUCUCGGGCCGGCGAGGAGAAAGAAAGGGGCGGCCGCGAGUCGGGCCGCCGGCGCUCGGGGCUCGGGCCGGGCCGGGCCUCCGGGGCCGCGGCGGGAGGCGGGCGGCGGCGAGGGCGCGGCGCGGGAGUCGGUGGGGGUCGCCGGGCCGGCGGGCGCCGUGGCCGCGCCGAGAGAUGUGUGUUAGUAGGUCAGUUCCGAGCGCCGCGCUACGUCGCCGCCCGCCAGCCCCGCGUGACUGGCGGCCGCGGCCCCAAUCGCCGCGCCUGCACCCGCCCCCGGCCCGCCGCCAAUGGCCGCGGCCGGCAGGGGCGGGCCGGGGCGGGCUCUCCGCGGCCACGCCCCGCCUCCCCGCCCUCAGCUCCCCCUCCGCGGCGGCGCCACUACCAGCUUGCGUCCCUCCCCGGCCAGGGCCACCGCCGUCCGAGCGCCCGCGAGGGCUGGCGCCCCAUGCCCGGCGUAAUGAGGGUUGCGCAACGGCCCGCGCGGCCGACACGACCGGAGCGAGCCUGCGGAGGAACCCGGGAGCCCCCAGUCCCACCGCCCCGUCCGCUCUUGGCUUCCUUCACCCUCCCGGUCGCUGCGGUGGCUCUGCGCACCCCGCGACCCUCACUCACUCGCAGAGGCGCUUUUUGUCUUCCUGAGAGCCGCAGCCGGCCGGGCUACCUGUUGCCGACCGAGCACUGCGGGCUGCGGCUACCCGGGCGUGGCAGGGACCUCGGCCUCCCCUUCCCGGCACACUCCCGAGAGGAGCCCUACCUUGGGGUGGGCAGGAGGGAAGGCGGGGGGUGGCGGCUGGCAAGCUGCCAACACUCGGGGCGCGCUGCGGCGGGGAAGGGGUUGGCGCGGCCGGGCAGCUACGCGGGGCUGCGCGGCGGAGGCAGCGAUUAA